rnacentral:rRNA from 1 species
UACAGAGGUCUCAAGCGUUGUUCGGAAUUACUGGGCGUAAAGGGCGCGUAGGCGGCCUGCUAAGUCGAACGUGAAAUCCCCGGGCUCAACCCGGGAACUGCGUCCGAUACUGGCAGGCUUGAAUCCGGGAGAGGGAUGUGGAAUUCCAGGUGUAGCGGUGAAAUGCGUAGAUAUCUGGAGGAACACCGGUGGCGAAGGCGGCAUCCUGGACCGGCAUUGACGCUGAGGCGCGAAAGCCAGGGGAGCAAACGGG